GACCUGGUGGUGCAACUGUUAAGCACUUGGCUUCUAACCUAAAAGUUGGUGGUUCGAAUCCAUCCAGAGACU
rnacentral:tRNA from 1 species